UGAUGCACGAAAGCGUGGGUAUCAAACAGGAUUAGAUACCCUGGUAGUCCACGCAGUAAACGAUGAAUACUAGCCGUAUGCGAUACACCGUAUGUGGCACAGCGAAAGCGUUAAGUAUUCCACCUGGGGAGUACGUUCGCAAGAAUGAAACUCAAAGGAAUUGACGGGGGCCCGCACAAGCGGAGGAACAUGUGGUUUAAUUCGAUGAUACGCGAGGAACCUUACCCGGGCUUGAAAUGCA
rnacentral:rRNA from 1 species